rnacentral:lncRNA from 1 species
AAAACUUUUUAUUCCCUCCCCGGGGCUGUGACGUGUGGCUCUCUGCAGUGGAUGGCUUUACCCAUUCUCAGCCUUGCCCUCCUCCCUCCCCAGAGGAUCCUGGCGCUUAAUUCCACCAUCCCUCAGCAUCCCUCAGUGGCCCCUCCGGCCAGCAGCGGCUGCUGGCGGUGGCAGGAUCAGGUCCCUGUGCUCAGCUGCCUGCCCUUCCCUUGGCUGGAGCUGAUCCCCUCCGAGACCAGCUGGCAGAGCUUCCCUCCGAUCCCCCAUGGUUGCCUUGCUCGUCCUGACGUGUCCGCAACAGUGAGAAGAUUGGGUAUACCCUGUACAAGACCUCAAGCUGGAUCUCAAACCCCGUACAUCUAGGAUCUUGAGAACUGGAAAGAAGCAAGGACCAUUGGGCUAAAUCAGAUUUGGAGGUGGCUGUUGCUGGUGACAUCCAAGACCAGUUCCAGAUGCACACAAAAACGGAUUUGCCCUGGUGGCCCCAGUGGCAGUGUGAACCGCAGAGCUGUGCUUCAGAUAUGGCGUGUGCCCAGCUUUGCCCUUAGAGCAACUGGGUGGCAGUCUGAGAGGUAAGUGGCUGUGCAGAGCAAAUGUGCUGAUGACAUCCAGAGUGUUUCAAAUAGCCGAACCGUAGUGGUGUCUGCACCCCACUGCUGCAAUUCAGAGACGUGGAUUUUGUGCAGACUCGGUGCUGCAGAGUCAAACUGCCUUGCACAUGUACCACUGGUAGGCAGCUGUGACCCUACAGACUUUCACAAAGGUUAAGAAUGAGUUCUCAUGAAGGUGUAAUUCAGCUCCAGGAGUUGCAGUCGAGUCUCCUUGACUGCAAAAUGAAGCUUUUUACUUUAUGAUAAUAUGAGCAAAAUAAAUAUGAGCAUAAUAAAUAUGAGCA